CCUGCUCACUGCUCUCCCUCGCGGCCCCGGCUCGUGGUGCUUAGCAGCCGCCGGACGGCCGGAGCUAGGGUUUCGCCGGAAAUCCCUGCGGCCAGGACGCCGGUCGGUUCGCCGUCUUCGUCUCUCUCAUCUCAUUCAGUGAAUUGGAGUGACUGUCUCAACAUGUCUUGGGCUGCGAUCGAGAAUGAUCCCGUCCUGAUCCUGGAUGAUAUUUGCCACCCUGCCCAGCCACCAGUUGCCACCAACUUGUCCGUAGGGAGGGGCAUGGAACGAUCUCUGCACCUGGCUGAUGUUGCCUUCUUCAAUGGGAAGCUGUACGGACUUGCUUUUGGCCGGUGUUUUUACAGACCUGUUGCAGCAGAUGCAACUGAAGGGCCUUCAAGUUGAUGAACUCUACUCACUUGACCUGGAUGCGCUCGGUGAUCUUCAGCCAAUAUAUGGGCUCAUAGUACUGUACAAAUGGCGACCUCCAGAAAAGGAUGAGCGUCCUGUCAUCAAGGAUGCAAUCCCAAACCUUUUCUUUGCCAACCAGAUAAUUAAUAACGCGUGGGCAACUCAAGCUAUCCUUUCUGUUCUCUUGAACUCACCUGGCAUCACCCUUAGUGACGAGCUUAAAAGGCUAAAGGAGUUUGCAAAGGACUUGCCACCCGAGCUCAAGGGAUUGGCCAUAGUCAAUUGCGCAAGCAUCCGUAUGUUAAACAACUCAUUUGCAAGGUCAGAGGUCCCGGAAGAGCAGAAACUAUCUAGCAAGGAUGAUGAUGUUUACCACUUCAUAAACUAUGUUCCAGUGGAUGGUGUCCUGUAUGAGCUUGAUGGACUAAAGGAAGGGCCGAUAAGCCUGGAGAAAUUCCCAGGUGGUGUUGAUGAGGCGGGGUGGCUUAGGGUGGCGCAGCCUGUGAUUCAAGAGCACAUUGACCGGUUCUCUCAGAAUGAGAUAAGAUUCAGUGUGAUGGCAAUCUUAAAGAACCGGAAGGAGAUGUACACAGCAGAGCUCAAAGACCUCCAGAGGAAGAGGGAGAGCCUGUUGCAGCAGAUGAGUGAUCCUUCUGCCAGCAGGCAUGUGCCAUCUGUCGAGCAGUCUCUAGCAGAGGUAGCUGCUCAGAUCGAGGCUGUGACAGAGAAGAUCAUAAUGGAGGAAGAGAAGUGGAAGUCGGAGAACAUGAGGAGGAAGCACAACUACGUGCCAUUCUUGUUCAAUUUCCUCAAGAUUCUCGAGGAGAAGAAGCGAUUGAAGCCCCUGAUAGACAAGGCAUCCUGUGUUUGUUUUAGUUGAGGUUUCUUGUAGAGACUGACUGUGUGGCCCGUGUUUUGUUGGCCAGUGUUCACUCCUAUUUUUAGCUAGUGCACAAAUGUCUGCUCAAAUAUAUCCAGGCGAAUGAAUCUUGAAGAGGCGAGUGUGCCGUGGAGUUUAUCCAGUCAUACUGGAGGUCAAUCGCCGGUGACCAAGAGUCUCAGCCAACUCUUAAAGCCCACUCGAGCCAACGCGCCGUGGCAAACAAGCGUCUCGUACCACUCAGGAGCCUGCCGGUCAUCCUCAGCACACUACUAGGGUACAAGAGAACAAUGAGCUGUCAGAGGGAACCAGCACUACAGCUAUGAGAGACGGCUCAACCAGCAGCCAGGAGGCGCCGAACGGACUCAGAUUCUAUAACAUUGCUAUGGCAUGUCACAGUGUAACAUUGGGACGAUCUGCAGCCUUCAAAACGAA